rnacentral:misc_RNA from 1 species
ACAAACUUGGUCAUUUAGAGGAAGUAAAAGUCGUAACAAGGUUUCCGUAGGUGAACCUGCGGAAGGAUCAUUAGAGAUUUUGUGCCCCGCGCACUAAAAAUUUCCUCGAUUCUCACACCUGUGCACAACGGCACGCGCGCGGCCGCCAGGCCGCGCUGCGUGCACAUUCACAAAAACAUCAUCCUGUUUUGUCGAACGUAAUCAUUUAUAAAAACACAACUUUCAACAAUGGAUCACUUGGUUCUCGCAUCGAUGAAGAACACAGC